rnacentral:rRNA from 1 species
GACGAACGCUGGCGGCGUGCUUAACACAUGCAAGUCGAACGGAAAGGCCUUUUCGGCGGUACUCGAGUGGCGAACGGGUGAGUAACACGUGGGUGAUCUGCCCCGCACUCUGGGAUAAGCCUGGGAAACUGGGUCUAAUACCGGAUAGGACCGCACUUUAGUGUGUGUGGUGGAAAGUUUUUUCGGUGUAGGAUGAGCCCGCGGCCUAUCAGCUUGUUGGUGGGGUAAUGGCCUACCAAGGCGGCGACGGGUAGCCGGACUGAGAGGUUGGUCGGCCACAUUGGGACUGAGAUACGGCCCAGACUCCUACGGGAGGCAGCAGUGGGGAAUAUUGCACAAUGGGCGCAAGCCUGAUGCAGCGACGCCGCGUGGGGGAUGACGGCCUUCGGGUUGUAAACUCCUUUCGCCAGGGACGAAGCGUUUUGUGACGGUACCUGGAGAAGAAGCACCGGCUAACUACGUG